GAGUUUGAUCAUGGCUCAGAUUGAACGCUGGCGGCAUGCCUUACACAUGCAAGUCGAACGGCAGCACGGGAGCUUGCUCCUGGGUGGCGAGUGGCGAACGGGUGAGUAAUGCAUCGGAACGUAUCCUGGAGUGGGGGAUAACGUAGCGAAAGUUACGCUAAUACCGCAUAUUCUGUGAGCAGGAAAGCGGGGGACCUUCGGGCCUCGCGCUCUUGGAGCGGCCGAUGUCGGAUUAGCUAGUUGGUGAGGUAAAGGCUCACCAAGGCGACGAUCCGUAGCAGGUCUGAGAGGAUGAUCUGCCACACUGGAACUGAGACACGGUCCAGACUCCUACGGGAGGCAGCAGUGGGGAAUUUUGGACAAUGGGGGCAACCCUGAUCCAGCCAUGCCGCGUGAGUGAAGAAGGCCUCGG
rnacentral:rRNA from 4 species